rnacentral:tRNA from 1 species
GGGCCGCCCCGGGUGGGAGGCGUGGCCGCGGGGCUGCCAUCGCCGCCGACGGGGAGUUCCACGGAUCCUGUCCGGGGCUGCCCG